UACGAAGGGGGCUAGCGUUGUUCGGAUUUACUGGGCGUAAAGCGCACGUAGGCGGAUUGUUAAGUCAGGGGUGGAAUCCUGGAGCUCAACUCCAGAACUGCCUUUGAUACUGGCAAUCUUGAGUCCGGAAGAGGUGAGUGGAACUCCUAGUGUAGAGGUGGAAUUCGUAGAUAUUAGGAAGAACACCAGUGGCGAAGGCGGCUCACUGGUCCGGUACUGACGCUGAGGUGCGAAAGCGUGGGGAGCAAACAGG
rnacentral:rRNA from 1 species